AUUGAACGCUGGCGGCAUGCUUUACACAUGCAAGUCGAACGGUAACAGGGUGCUUGCACCGCUGACGAGUGGCGAACGGGUGAGUAAUGCGUCGGAACACACCGAGUAAUGGGGGAUAACGCAGCGAAAGCUGUGCUAAUACCGCAUACGCUCUGAGGAGGAAAGCGGGGGACCUUCGGGCCUCGCGUUAUUCGAGCGGCCGACGUCUGAUUAGCUAGUAGGUGAGGUAAGAGCUCACCUAGGCGACGAUCAGUAGCGGGUCUGAGAGGAUGAUCCGCCACACUGGGACUGAGACACGGCCCAGACUCCUACGGGAGGCAGGAGUGGGGAAUUUUGGACAAUGGGCGCAAGCCUGAUCCAGCCAUGCCGCGUGUCUGAAGAAGGCCUUCGGGUUGUAAAGGACUUUUGUCAGGGAGGAAAUCCUUAGCGCUAAUACCGUUGAGGGAUGACAGUACCUGAAGAAUAAGCACCGGCUAACUACGUGCCAGCCGCCGCCGUAA
rnacentral:rRNA from 1 species